rnacentral:tRNA from 1 species
GUGGAUUUAAGACCCGUAUAUAAAGUAAUAACUUUUUUUAGAA